GACCUGGUGGUGAAUGGUUCACACCCACCUUUACUUUCUGGGCAAAGUACAUGAAGUGGGAGUACCCGGUUCGAUUCCGGGUCAGGUCA